rnacentral:rRNA from 1 species
CACGUAGGGUGCAAGCGUUGUCCGGAAUCAUUGGGCGUAAAGAGCUCGUAGGCGGCUUAGUAAGUCGGGUGUGAAAACCCCAGGCUCAACCUGGGGACGCCACCCGAUACUGCUAUAGCUAGAGUCCAGUAGGGGAGUGUGGAAUUCCCAGUGUAGCGGUGAAAUGCGCAGAUAUUGGGAGGAACACCAGCGGCGAAGGCGGCGCUCUGGGCUGGUACUGACGCUGAGGAGCGAAAGCGUGGGUAGCGAACAGG